GACGAACGCUGGCGGCAUGCCUAAUACAUGCAAGUUGAGCGCUGAAGGUUGGUACUUGUACCAACUGGAUGAGCAGCGAACGGGUGAGUAACGCGUGGGGAAUCUGCCUUUGAGCGGGGGACAACAUUUGGAAACGAAUGCUAAUACCGCAUAAAAACUUUAAACACAAGUUUUAAGCUUGAAAGAUGCAAUUGCAUCACUCAAAGAUGAUCCCGCGUUGUAUUAGCUAGUUGGUGAGGUAAAGGCUCACCAAGGCGAUGAUACAUAGCCGACCUGAGAGGGUGAUCGGCCACAUUGGGACUGAGACACGGCCCAAACUCCUACGGGAGGCAGCAGUAGGGAAUCUUCGGCAAUGGACGAAAGUCUGACCGAGCAACGCCGCGUGAGUGAAGAAGGUUUUCGGAUCGUAAAACUCUGUUGGUAGAGAAGAACGUUGGUGAGAGUGGAAAGCUCAUCAAGUGACGGUAACUACCCAGAAAGGGACGGCUAACUACGUGCCAGCCGCCGCAGUAAGAC
rnacentral:rRNA from 1 species